AGCCUCCUGGUGCUGUGUUCUUACACUGACUGUAUGAAGAGGAGGAAAAGUAAACCUACCCCAUUUAUGCUUCAACCCGGGCCCUGUGCCUGGUCUGUAUGGGAAGACAUGG
rnacentral:snoRNA from 1 species